GGCAACAAAAGGGGAGAGAGAGGAACGAGAUAGGCAUGGAGAAAUAUGAAAAACACAUAAAAGGGAAAGAAGAAGGGCUUACAUGUGGAAAAAUAAAUCAAGAUGUCAAAACAAACAAUAAUCAUGAAAAAUCACAAUAAAAAAAAAUUCAGACAAGCAAUAGAAUCCCACAUAAAAUACAAACUCAUAAUGAUUAGAACUCAAGAUCUCCAGUGGAGUCGCCAUUCUGUCGCACCCCAUUUUUUGUCAGGAAAAGCGGGAUUCGAUGUGACUACUCUUUUUGAGGUUGUUUGAGAAAAUGUGAAGAGUCACCACCUAACGUAUUAAGGGGUGUUAGGGCACCGGUCUAGGCUAACUAUGAACCUAUUUUGUUGUUUUGUCUUAGUUCACCAGAAAUUUGGGUAAGGGCUAAAAUUACCUCAAAAAAAAGGUGUUGGCACCUUU
rnacentral:lncRNA from 1 species